CCGUUUGGUUCGGGGUUAAGUAAAAACUUGUUAUUGUAGAGAUAGAGUUAAGUUCAGGGUUAAGGUGGUGUUAGAGUAAUUUUGUGUUUGGUUGAGAAUUGGGUUUAGCCCAGAUAUAGAUAAAAUAGUGUUUGGUUGGAGUAGGUGGGAUAAGAAGGAUAGUGGGUAAAAUAAUAUUUUAUUUGGUUGGAGUAGUGGGGUGGGGUGGGGUUAGCUAACCCCACCCGGUGGAAUUAGUUAACCCCAGCCCCCAAAUUGGAUGUUUGGGAAUAACUUCGGGGUUAAAGGAUUAUUCCACCCCUUGACCCCAAACCAAACGUAAAAUUUACUCAUUUUAAUCGAUAUUGGUGCUUUGUUAAUAGAAAAAGCUUUAAGCUACCGUUUGGUUCGGGGUUAAGGAAAAACUAGUUAUUCCAGGAAUAGAAUUAAAGUUCAGGAUUAAGGUAGGAUUAGAGUAUUUUUGUAUUUGGUUGAGAAUUGGAGUUAGUCCAGGAUUAAAGAAAAUAAUGUUUGGUUGGAGUAGGUGGGAUAAGAAGGAUAGUGGAUAAAAUAGUGUUUUGUUUGGUUGGAGUAGUGGGGUGGGGUGGGGUUAGCUGGGGUUAGCUAA
rnacentral:lncRNA from 1 species